rnacentral:rRNA from 1 species
UACGGAGGGAGCUAGCGUUGUUCGGAAUUACUGGGCGUAAAGCGUACGUAGGCGGUUAUUCAAGUCAGAGGUGAAAGCCCAGGGCUCAACUCCGGAACUGCCUUUGAUACUGGCAGCUAGAGUCCGGAAGAGGUAAGUGGAACUCCUAGUGUAGAGGUGGAAUCGUAGAUAUUAGGAAGAACACCAGUGGCGAAGGCGGCUUAACUGGUC